CACGUAGGGUGCGAGCGUUAAUCGGAAUUACUGGGCGUAAAGCGUGCGCAGGCGGUCUGUUAAGACCGAUGUGAAAUCCCCGGGCUUAACCUGGGAAUGGCAUUGGUGACUGUACGGCUAGAGUGUGUCAGAGGGGGGGUAGAAUUCCACGUGUAGCAGUGAAAUGCGUAGAGAUGUGGAGGAAUACCGAUGGCGAAGGCAGCCCCCUGGGAUAACACUGACGCCUCAUGCACGAAAGCGUGGGGAGCAAACAGG
rnacentral:rRNA from 1 species